ensembl:lncRNA
ACACGACCGGCCUGCGCUCACAUCAAUCAGGGGCACGGUGAGGGCCAAUCAGCAGCAACGUCAUUUAUAGGAACAUGGCGUACACACAGACAGGAUGUUUUGAUGUCCAAUUCAUCUCCCAUCACCGUUUCAUAAGCAGACCAUCGAUAUCCGCGCGGACACGCAUCCACGCAGAUCUGUAGAAGGGAAGAGAGGGACCCCAGACUGCGACAGGAGCCCUCUGGAUGAAAACGUCUGCUAAAUGACUCAAUUGUAUUUUCAGUUUGACGGAUCUGCUUCUCUUAACUCCUUUCAUCAUCGGCUUGGAGAGACUUUGGAAUCGAACAGAGAGCCCCCUGCAUCCCCUAAUGACCCCCACCCAGACCCAGACACCCCACCUAGACCCAAAGACCCCCACCAAGACGCAAAGACCCCCACCAAGACCAGAAGACCCCCACCAAGACCCAAAGACCCCCACCACCCCUGAUGGGGAAAAGACCCGUACAUUACAACGUUGGCAGAUCCAAACGUACAAAUCGAAAUCCAAGAACAGAGAUAUACUGAGAGGAGGUCGGUGUGGACAGUGUUUCUGUUCCCAG